UACAGAGGUCCCAAGCGUUGUUCGGAUUCAUUGGGCGUAAAGGGUGCGUAGGUGGCGGGGUAAGUCAGGUGUGAAAUUUCGGAGCUCAACUCCGAAACUGCAUUUGAUACUGCCUUGCUUGAGGACUGGAGAGGAGACUGGAAUUCACGGUGUAGCAGUGAAAUGCGUAGAUAUCGUGAGGAAGACCAGUGGCGAAGGCGGGUCUCUGGACAGUUCCUGACACUGAGGCACGAAGGCCAGGGGAGCAAACGGG
rnacentral:rRNA from 1 species